UACGUAGGUGGCAAGCGUUGUCCGGAUUUACUGGGCGUAAAGGGAGUGUAGGCGGAUACUUAAGUCAGAUGUGAAAUACCCGGGCUCAACUUGGGUGCUGCAUUUGAAACUGGGUAUCUAGAGUGCAGGAGAGGAAAGUGGAAUUCCUAGUGUAGCGGUGAAAUGCGUAGAGAUUAGGAAGAACACCAGUGGCGAAGGCGACUUUCUGGACUGUAACUGACGCUGAGGCUCGAAAGCGUGGGGAGCAAACAGGAUUAGAUACCCUGGUAGUCCACGCCGUAAACGAUGGGUACUAGGUGUGGGAGGUAUCGACUCCUUCCGUGCCGCCGUUAACACAAUAAGUACCCCGCCUGGGGAGUACGGUCGCAAGAUUAAA
rnacentral:rRNA from 1 species